rnacentral:rRNA from 1 species
GCCGCGUGAGGGAUGACGGCCUUCGGGUUGUAAACCUCUUUCAGCAGGGACGAAGCGAAAGUGACGGUACCUGCAGAAGAAGGACCGGCCAACUACGUGCCAGCAGCCGCGGUAAUACGUAGGGUCCGAGCGUUGUCCGGAAUUAUUGGGCGUAAAGGGCUCGUAGGCGGUUUGUCGCGUCGGGAGUGAAAACUCAGGGCUCAACCCUGAGCGUGCUUCCGAUACGGGCAGACUAGAGGUAUGCAGGGGAGAACGGAAUUCCUGGUGUAGCGGUGGAAUGCGCAGAUUUCAGGAGGAACACCGGUGGCGAAGGCGGUUCUCUGGGCAUUACCUGACGCUGAGGAGCGAAAGCAUGGGGAGCGAACAGGAUUAGAUACCCUGGUAGUCCAUGCCGUAAACGUUGGGCGCUAGGUGUGGGGACCUUCCACGGUUUCCGUGCCGCAGCUAACGCAUUAAGCGCCCCGCCUGGGGAGUACGGCCGCAAGGCUAAAACUCAGAGGAAUUGACGGGGGCCCGCACAAGCGGCGGAGCAUGCUGAUUAAUUCGAUGCAACGCGAAGAACCUUACCUGGGUUUGACAUAUACCGGAAAGCUGCAGAGAUGUGGCCCCCUUUUGGCCGGU